GACGAACGCUGGCGGCGUGCCUAACACAUGCAAGUCGAGCGGAGGUACCCAAGGAGUAAUCUGAGGGUACUUUAGCGGCGGACGGGUGAGUAACGCGUGAGCAACCUGCCUUUCACAGGGGGAUAAGGCGGCGAAAGCCGCUCUAAUACCGCAUGAGACCACGGGGAUGAUAUUUCUGGGGUCAAAGGAGCAAUCCGGUGAGAGAUGGGCUCGCGUCCGAUUAGGUAGUUGGUGAGGUAACGGCCCACCAAGCCAAUGAUCGGUAGCCGGCCUGAGAGGGUGAACGGCCACAUUGGAACUGAGAGACGGUCCAAACUCCUACGGGAGGCAGCAGUGGGGAAUAUUGGGCAAUGGGGGAAACCCUGACCCAGCAACGCCGCGUGAGGGAAGAAGGUUUUCGGAUUGUAAACCUCUGUUCUUGGAGAAGAGAAGAAGACGGUAUCCAAGGAGGAAGCCCCGGCUAACUACGUG
rnacentral:rRNA from 1 species